ACAUGCUUACAACAUAGCAGUAAUGCAUUGGAUGCCACUAGAUAUCUACAAUUAAGCAUGCUCAGGCUAGAGUAGUACUGGGAUGGGUGACCUCCAGGGAAGUCUUAUUGUUUUACAUGCC
rnacentral:rRNA from 1 species